GUUAUCCCUAGCCCUGCAACGCGAUGGGAUCCAAAGACUCCCGAAGUUUCCAUCCAACUCCUAUUCUGACACGUCCACGUCGUGCAGGGUGGUAACAUGGGCCUAAACCUAACCUUUUGGGCAAGUGACGGCUGAUGGCUAAGGAGGAAGCG
rnacentral:ribozyme from 1 species